AACGAACGCUGGCGGCAUGCCUAACACAUGCAAGUCGAACGAGAUCUUCGGAUCUAGUGGCGCACGGGUGCGUAACGCGUGGGAAUCUGCCCUUGAGUACGGAAUAACUCAGAGAAAUUUGUGCUAAUACCGUAUAAUGUCUUCGGACCAAAGAUUUAUCGCCCAAGGAUGAGCCCGCGUAGGAUUAGCUAGUUGGUGAGGUAAAAGCUCACCAAGGCGACGAUCCUUAGCUGGUCUGAGAGGAUGAUCAGCCACACUGGGACUGAGACACGGCCCAGACUCCUACGGGAGGCAGCAGUGGGGAAUAUUGGACAAUGGGCGAAAGCCUGAUCCAGCAAUGCCGCGUGAGUGAUGAAGGCCCUAGGGUUGUAAAGCUCUUUUACCCGGGAUGAUAAUGACAGUACCGGGAGAAUAAGCUCCGGCUAACUUCGUG
rnacentral:rRNA from 1 species